CCUACGGGGGGCUGCAGUGGGGAAUAUUGCACAAUGGGCGAAAGCCUGAUGCAGCAACGCCGCGUGAGCGAUGAAGGCCUUCGGGUCGGAAAGCUCUGUCCUCAAGGAAGAUAAUGACGGUACUUGCGGACGAAGCCCCGGCCAACUACGUGCCAGCAGCCGCGGUAAUACGUAGGGGGCUAGCGUUAUCCGGAAUUACUGGGGGUAAAGGGUGUGUAGGUGGGUUAUUAAGUCAGAGGUAAAAGGCUACGGCUAAACCGUAGUAAGCCUUUGAAACUGGGAAUCUUGAGUGCAGGAGAGGCGAGUGGAAUUCCUAGUGUAGCGGUGAAAUGCGUAGAUAUUAGGAGGAACACCAGUGGCGAAGGCGGCUCUCUGGACUGUAACUGACACUGAGGCACGAAAGCGUGGGGAGCAAACAGGAUUAGAUACCCGUGUAGUC
rnacentral:rRNA from 1 species